rnacentral:misc_RNA from 1 species
UCCGGUUUAACACCGGCAGUCUCCUCAGAGUGCCCAACUUAAUGGUGGCAACUAAGGACAAGGGUUGCGCUCGUUGCGGGACUUAACCCUACAUCUUACGACACGAGCUGACGACAGCCAUGCAGCACCUAUCUCACUGUCCCCGAAGGGAAAGCCCCAUCUCUGGAGUUGUCAGUGGAUGUUAAGACCAGGUAAGGUUCUGCGCGUUGCUUCGAAUUAAACCACAUACUCCACCGCUUGUGCGGGCCCCCGUCAAUUCCUUUGAGUUUCAGUCUUGCGACCGUACUCCCCAGGCGGCGAACUCAACGCGUUAGCUUCGAUACUGCGUGCCAAAUUGCACCCAACAUCCAGUUCGCAUCGUUUAGGGCGUGGACUAC